CAGGACGAACGCUGGCGGCGUGCCUAAUACAUGCAAGUCGAGCGAAUGAUGAGGAAGCUUGCUCCUCUGAUUAGCGGCGGACGGGUGAGUAACACGUGGGCAACCUACCCUAUAGUUUGGGAUAACUCCGGGAAACCGGGGCUAAUACCGAAUAAUCUAUUUCUCCUCAUGGUGAAAUACUGAAAGACGGCAUCUCGCUGUCGCUAUAGGAUGGGCCCGCGGCGCAUUAGCUAGUUGGUGAGGUAAUGGCUCACCAAGGCGACGAUGCGUAGCCGACCUGAGAGGGUGAUCGGCCACACUGGGACUGAGACACGGCCCAGACUCCUACGGGAGGCAGCAGUAGGGAAUCUUCCACAAUGGGCGAAAGCCUGAUGGAGCAACGCCCGCGUGAGUGAAGAAGGAUUUCGGUUCGUAAAACUCUGUUGUAAGGGUAGAACAAGUACAGUAGUAACUGGCUGUACCUUGACGGUACCUUAUUAGAAAGCCACGGCUAACUACGUGCCAGCCGCGGC
rnacentral:rRNA from 1 species